CUCAAGUGGGGUCCAAACCGCGCGUCAGUUCCAACGGGAUCCCCAUGUAUAUGACCAUACUCCUGACCACGUGGUCCUCGUUAAUCCCAGCACGGUGGAAUCGCCCAGGCCGGCACAGGACAUUAUUCCAUUUGCCCAAUGACAUAAGACAAUCGACGUGACACCUUUUCUACAUCCAUUAGGACCUGAUGAAUUUUUCUGGAGAUCCAGCAGUCCUGCUAUUGCCACCCCUAAUGUUAUCCAUAAUCCAACUCAAAAAGAUAUUCAGUGAGAUACCUCCAAAG